rfam:Ciona savignyi cont_62632, whole genome shotgun sequence.
CAAGCAAUCUCGGGCUUGGUUAGUACUUGGUUGGGUGACCGCUUGGGAAUACCAAGUGUGAUAAGCA